rnacentral:rRNA from 1 species
AACGAACGCUGGCGGCAUGCCUAACACAUGCAAGUCGAACGAGACCUUCGGGUCUAGUGGCGCACGGGUGCGUAACGCGUGGGAACCUGCACUUAGGUUCGGAAUAACUCCCCGACAGGGGUGCUAAUACCGGAUAAUGUCUUCGGCCCAAAGAUUUAUCGCCUUUGGAUGGGCCAGCGUUGGAUUAGCUAGUUGGUAUGGUAAAAGCCUACCAAGGCGAUGAUGCAUAGCUGGUUUGAGAGGAUGAUCAGCCACACUGAGACUGAGACACGGCCCAGACUCCUACGGGAGGCAGCAGAGCGGAAUAUUGGACAAUGGGGGAAAGCAUGAUCCUGCAAUGCCGCGUAAGUGAUGAAGGCAUGAGGGUUGUAAAGCUCUUUUAACCGGGAUGAUAAUGACAGUACCGGAAGAAUAAGCUCCGGCUAACUCCGUG